rnacentral:rRNA from 1 species
UGGGGAAUAUUGCACAAUGGAGGAAACUCUGAUGCAGCAACGCCGCGUGGAGGAUGACGCAUUUCGGUGUGUAAACUCCUUUUAUAGGGGAAGAUAAUGACGGUACCCUAUGAAUAAGCACCGGCUAACUCCGUGCCAGCAGCCGCGGUAAUACGGGGGGUGCAAGCGUUACUCGGAAUUACUGGGCGUAAAGGAUGCGUAGGCGGAAGAUCAAGUCAGAAGUGAAAUACAACAGCUUAACUGUUGAACUGCUUUUGAAACUGUUUUUCUAGAAUAUGGGAGAGGUAGAUGGAAUUGGUGGUGUAGGGGUAAAAUCCGUAGAUAUCACCAGGAAUACCGAUUGCGAAGGCGAUCUACUGGAACAUUAUUGACGCUGAGGCAUGAAAGCGUGGGUAGCAAACA